UAGCUCAGUUGGUAGAGUGCUUGCCUCACAUGCACAAGGACCUGGGUUCAAUUCCUAG
rnacentral:tRNA from 1 species